AUUGAACGCUGGCGGCAUGCCUUACACAUGCAAGUCGAACGGUAACAGGUCUUCGGAUGCUGACGAGUGGCGAACGGGUGAGUAAUACAUCGGAACGUGCCUAGUAGUGGGGGAUAACUACUCGAAAGAGUGGCUAAUACCGCAUGAGAUCUACGGAUGAAAGCAGGGGAUCGCAAGACCUUGUGCUACUAGAGCGGCCGAUGGCAGAUUAGGUAGUUGGUGGGAUAAAAGCUUACCAAGCCGACGAUCUGUAGCUGGUCUGAGAGGACGAUCAGCCACACUGGGACUGAGACACGGCCCAGACUCCUACGGGAGGCAGCAGUGGGGAAUUUUGGACAAUGGGCGAAAGCCUGACCCAGCAACGCCGCGUGCGGGAUGAAGGCCCUCGGGUCGUAAACCGCUGUCACGAGGAAAGAAAAGCCGGACGGAUAACACCCGGACGGCCUGACGGUACCUCCAAAGGAAGCACCGGCUAACUCCGUGCCAGCCGCCGCAGUAA
rnacentral:rRNA from 1 species